CCCUUAGAUGUCCUGGGCCGCACGCGCGCUACACUGACGAUGGCAACGAGUUUUUCCUUCGCCGAAGGGUGUGGGUAAUCUUUUGAAACAUCGUCGUGCUGGGGAUAGAUCAUUGAAAUUUUUGAUCUUGAACGAGGAAUUCCUAGUAAGCGCGAGUCAUCAGCUCGCGUUGAUUACGUCCCUGCCCUUUGUACACACCGCCCGUCGCUACUACCGAUUGAAUGGUUUAGUGAGGACUCCUGAUUGGCGCCGCCGCCCCGGCAACGGAGCAGCGGACUGCCGAAAAGUUGUUCAAACUUGAUCAUUUAGAGGAAGUAAAAGUCGUAACA
rnacentral:rRNA from 1 species